rnacentral:rRNA from 1 species
GACGAACGCUGGCGGCGUGCUUAACACAUGCAAGUCGAACGAUGAAGCCGGAGCUUGCUCUGGUGAAUUAGUGGCGAACGGGUGAGUAACACGUGAGUGACCUGCCCUUGACUCUGGGAUAACUGCGGGAAACUGUAGCUAAUACCGGAUACGACCCUCGGAGGCAUCUCCUGGGGGUGGAAAGAAUUUCGGUCAAGGAUGGACUCGCGGCCUAUCAGCUAGUUGGUGAGGUAAAGGCUCACCAAGGCGACGACGGGUAGCCGGCCUGAGAGGGUGACCGGACACACUGGGACUGAGGCACGGCCCAGACUCCUACAGGAGGCAGCAGUGGGGAAUAUUGCACAAUGGGCGCAAGCCUGAUGCAGCAACGCCGCGUGAGGGAUGACGGCCUUCGGGUUGUAAACCUCUUUUAGCAGGGAAGAAGCGAAAGUGACGGUACCUGCAGAAAAAGCACCGGCUAACUACGUGCCAGCAGCCGCCGUAA